ACGACGCUGGCGGCGUGCUUAACACAUGCAAGUCGAACGGGCUGAAGUGAUAGCUUGCUAUUAUGGACGCUAGUGGCAAACGGGUGAGUAACGCGUAGGCAACCUGCCCUUCAGAUGGGGACAACACUUCGAAAGAGGUGCUAAUACCGAAUGACGUAUCCAUUCCGCAUGGAGAGGAUACCAAAGGCCGGGCAACCGGUCACUGAAGGAUGGGCCUGCGUCUGAUUAGCUGGUUGGUGGGGUAACGGCCCACCAAGGCGACGAUCAGUAGCCGGUCUGAGAGGAUGAACGGCCACAUUGGGACUGAGACACGGCCCAAACUCCUACGGGAGGCAGCAGUGGGGAAUCUUCCGCAAUGGGCGCAAGCCUGACGGAGCAACGCCGCGUGAGUGAAGAAGGUUUUCGGAUCGUAAAGCUCUGUUGAGAGGGACGAGAGGCAAGGCUAGGAAAUGAGCUUUGUAGGACGGUACCUUUCGAGGAAGCCACGGCUAACUACGUG
rnacentral:rRNA from 1 species